CGCUAUCAGAUGAGCCUAGGUCGGAUUAGCUAGUUGGUGGGGUAAAGGCCUACCAAGGCGACGAUCCGUAACUGGUCUGAGAGGAUGAUCAGUCACACUGGAACUGAGACACGGUCCAGACUCCUACGGGAGGCAGCAGUGGGGAAUAUUGGACAAUGGGCGAAAGCCUGAUCCAGCCAUGCCGCGUGUGUGAAGAAGGUCUUCGGAUUGUAAAGCACUUUAAGUUGGGAGGAAGGGCAGUAAGUUAAUACCUUGCUGUUUUGACGUUACCAACAGAAUAAGCACCGGCUAACUUCGUGCCAGCAGCCGCGGUAAUACGAAGGGUGCAAGCGUUAAUCGGAAUUACUGGGCGUAAAGCGCGCGUAGGUGGUUCAGCAAGUUGGAUGUGAAAUCCCCGGGCUCAACCUGGGAACUGCAUCCAAAACUACUGAGCUAGAGUACGGUAGAGGGUGGUGGAAUUUCCUGUGUAGCGGUGAAAUGCGUAGAUAUAGGAAGGAACACCAGUGGCGAAGGCGACCACCUGGACUGAUACUGACACUGAGGUGCGA
rnacentral:rRNA from 1 species